GGCCUUUCGCCGGAGCGAAGGCUCCCCUAUAUUCGUCGUGCCGGGGCAACCCGGAUAUGGCGAUAAACGGCCAUCGCAAUAAACCUUUCGGACCCGGGGGCAGUACCCGGCGCCUCCACCACAAGGGCCCUGGCGGGGCUUUUCUGAUGGGGGCGAAAUAGGAUCGACGAGGGUGUAAAGGGUGGACUUUUGCUCGGCAUGGUUCCGCCGUUAUCGGGCCGUCUCAAUAGUUGCCAACGACAACUAUGCUCCGGUGGCCGUUGCCGCGUAAUGCGGUAAUAGUACCGAAAUCAAGUCCUUGCGGGUAGCACUGUAAGGCGGGGUUCGGAGGCACCUGGCAACAGAAGCCUCCACU
rnacentral:tmRNA from 1 species